rnacentral:rRNA from 1 species
GCAGCAUGGUCUUAGCUUGCUAAGGCCGAUGGCGACCGGCGCACGGGUGAGUAACACGUAUCCAACCUGCCGUCUACUCUUGGACAGCCUUCUGAAAGGAAGAUUAAUACAAGAUGGCAUCAUGAGUCCGCAUGUUCACAUGAUUAAAGGUGUUCCGGUAGACGAUGGGGAUGCGUUCCAUUAGAUAGUAGGCGGGGUAACGGCCCACCUAGUCUUCGAUGGAUAGGGGUUCUGAGAGGAAGGUCCCCCACAUUGGAACUGAGACACGGUCCAACCUCCUACGGGAGGCAGCAGUGAGGAAUAUUGGUCAAUGGGCGAGAGCCUGAACCAGCCAAGUAGCGUGAAGGAUGACUGCCCUAUGGGUUGUAAACUUCUUUUAUAAAGGAAUAAAGUCGGGUAUGCAUACCCGUUUGCAUGUACUUUAUGAAUAAGGAUCGGCUAACUCCGUGCCAGCAGCCGCGGUAAUACGGAGGAUCCGAGCGUUAUCCGGAUUUAUUGGGUUUAAAGGGAGCGUAGAUGGAUGUUUAAGUCAGUUGUGAAAGUUUGCGGCUCAACCGUAAAAUUGCAGUUGAUACUGGAUAUCUUGAGUGCAGUUGAGGCAGGCGGAAUUCGUGGUGUAGCGGUGAAAUGCUUAGAUAUCACGAAGAACUCCGAUUGCGAAGGCAGC